rnacentral:rRNA from 1 species
GUGGGGAAUCUUGCGCAAUGGGCGAAAGCCUGACGCAGCCAUGCCGCGUGAAUGAUGAAGGUCUUAGGAUUGUAAAAUUCUUUCACCGGGGACGAUAAUGACGGUACCCGGAGAAGAAGCCCCGGCUAACUUCGUGCCAGCAGCCGCGGUAAUACGAAGGGGGCUAGCGUUGCUCGGAAUUACUGGGCGUAAAGGGCGCGUAGGCGGACAGUUUAGUCAGAGGUAAAAGCCCAGGGCUCAACCUUGGAAUUGCCUUUGAUACUGGCUGUCUUGAGUACGGGAGAGGUGAGUGGAACUCCGAGUGUAGAGGUGAAAUUCGUAGAUAUUCGGAAGAACACCAGUGGCGAAGGCGACUCACUGGCCCGUUACUGACGCUGAGGCGCGAAAGCGUGGGGAGCAAACAGGAUUAGAAACCCCGGUAGUCC